UAAAAGGGUUUCUGCUGUGAGUGGCACACGGGCGAGGCUUGGCGCUUUGUCCGUGCGGAAUCGAUAUCAAGAGAUUUCGGAAGCACAAUUUUUGUCCUGUGGGGCUGCUGGUGAUCGAUCGUCCCGGCGCUCCC